rnacentral:lncRNA from 1 species
GCAAAUGAUUUUUGGAAGCUACUUGUCAGCACACUCAAAGUUGUGAAUUCAUUUCAUAAUAAAACUAGAUAUUCUGGUGCAAAAGAUUUGUCACUCACAUCACCUCUACAAAGAUUAGAACUAUACAGAUUACAAAGUUCUUUGCAAAACUCUUUCUGACCACAAGAAUAUAAUCCAGUUCUAUUACAAACAGGGGAAAUAUGUGUUGUCUGUAUGCAGUUCUGUUCUCAAAUACCAUGUUCCCAUUUUGCACUGCAAAAAUAAUCCAAAUCCAAAAGGCUGAAACCUGUUAAAAUUACUUAAACGUAAUCCAGCUAUAGAGGUCAUGUUAGGGAUGCGUUGGAAGUCAUUAAUUUAAAUAUUUAAUUAUAUUUUUAGUUGCUUUAUUUAUUAUUCUAGAAUAAGGUUUAGUUUCAGAGUUUCAUAAGGAUUAGGUUAAGUUAUAGUUAUUAGUUUGGAAUAGGAUUUAGGUCUCCUACUCUCAUAAGAAUUAGACUUCCUAUUGAUGUAAUAAGACUCCUAUUUAAAGGGGCUUUUGAUGAAUAAAUUAGUAAGUCAUAAUUCAGCAAAAAGCAGGAGAUUAGAGUUCUCUCUUCCAUUGAACUCUAAGGUUUCAGUGUCGCUGAAGAGAUCAGAGUUCUCUUUUAAUGAAUUCUAAGGUUUCAGCCUCCCUUUAACGAGCUGAUUUAUAUAUCGCCUUGUGAAUCGAUCCUUCCCUAAAGAUUCAUAACAGGUUAGCACUACUUUAUCAAGAUCUAUGUCAACGAGAACCAACAUACAGUAGGAUAAGAAAGAUCAUACAUUCUUAAUUUGAAAGGAUCACAUCACAUCUAACCAUGAAGGGGCGCAAACAGUUUUGAGAGGAAAGGGUUUCUAAGUAACAUUUGGUAUUAUACUCUAGGACUGAAUAUUUUUCAAGAAAUUAGAAAAAUCAUGAGCCUUUAACUCUACUACAAUUAGUAUUCUG